rnacentral:sRNA from 2 species
AUUUCGCACACACCGAAAUGGCAGGAGCGGGAGACCCAGGCACGGCGGACCACGAACACGGUGGUCCUUGGGGUGAAGCCACGAAAGUGGCCGGGCGACUUCGCCGCCCGAACCCGACAGGUCAUCUUUCGCAGGCGCAGGACGAAGGGCUU